AGCGAACGCUGGCGGCAGGCCUAACACAUGCAAGUCGAACGAACCUUUCGGGGUUAGUGGCGGACGGGUGAGUAACACGUGGGAACGUGCCUUUAGGUGCGGAAUAACUCAGGGAAACUUGUGCUAAUACCGAAUGUGCCCUUCGGGGGAAAGAUUAAUCGCCUUGAGAGCGGCCCGCGUCUGAUUAGCUAGUUGGUUGAGGUAAUGGCUCACCAAGGCGACGAUCAGUAGGUGGUCUGUGAGGAUGAUCAGCCACAUUGGGACUGAGACACGGCCCAAACUCCUACGGGAGGCAGCAGUGGGGAAUCUUGCGCAGUGGGCGAAAGCCUGACGCUGCCAUGCCGCGUGAAUGCUGAAGGUCUUAGGAUUGUAAUAUUCUUUCACCGGGGACGAUAAUGACGGUACCCAGAGAAGAAGCCCCGGCUAACUUCGUG
rnacentral:rRNA from 1 species